UCACAACCGUAUCGACUCGAGAUGUUCAGUAUUGUUUGUUUGAAACUCCCUCCUGCAACGCACACUAAUCGGAAUCGUAACGUUAUCGUCUCGCCCCGGAA